GACGAACCGAGCGAACGUUGUUCGGAAUCACUGGGCUUAAAGGGCGCGUAGGCGGGCUGUCAAGUCUGGGGUGAAAUCCCACGGCUCAACCGUGGAACUGCCUUAGAUACUGACGGCCUCGAGGGAGAUAGGGGCGAGCGGAACUGUGAGUGGAGCGGUGAAAUGCGUUGAUAUUCACAGGAACUCCGGUGGCGAAGGCGGCUCGCUGGAUCUUUUCUGACGCUGAGGCACGAAAGCUAGGGUAGCGAACGGG
rnacentral:rRNA from 1 species